CUGUGCUCAGAGCUAAAGCAGCCAAGGGCCUUUCAGAAAGAACUAUAAACAGUCGUGAUCAAGAGUGGAUUGCAUACAACCUGUGGGCGUCUCGGUUGGCUCUUCUCACGUACCCAUCAGCCCUUCUGCUUGGAAUGGGAUGACGCCCUCAGCAGACACUGAGGAGAUGUGGCUGCCAUGAACUCCCAACCCCCCCAGAACUGGGAAACAUUGAAUGUUCUUCAACCAAGCUUUACUCUCUCAACUCACCCUCAGAAUCCGAUUGAAGUCUUCCUUGUCAACUCUUAGGAAGUGACAAUUAUCUUCCCGAAGAACAAUGGAUGCAGCUCUCGGAGCAUCGUUCACCAGAGCUAACUUGCCAAAGUCAUCUCCCUCAUGCAGGGUGCAGACCACACCCUGGGGAGAGCAGGACAGUCAGGAAAAAAAAAAGGGACCAAAAACCCUCCUUCCCCUCCCCUGCCACCAAACACCGUGCCUGUGAGUGGACUGCAUUAGUGUUAUAAUCAGAUUAAAAUGCUUCAUAUUUCUUUCACAGAAUAAACACAGUCAAUGAAUGACUCUGAGUGCAAUAAUUGAGGAAAUGUAUGAUUAAAGAUGAAAUUAUGUCUUUUCUACGUGGAGUAACAAUGCCAUGAUCUGAUCACAGAACUGAAGAACAAGGUGAAUUCUAGAGAGAGGCCCCAUAUGAGUGUACCACUGACUAUGUGAGUCUCUGAUGACUGAUACUAAAUGAGUUUCUGAGGCAAAGAAAUCCUCUUGGGCUUGGAGUCCAUGGUGCAGUGUGAAGAAAACCGGGAAACACAAUACUUCAAACAGAACAGUAACAGGAAGUUUCGAGAAAUUAGUUUUUUGUAAAUAAAGCCCUUUUUAGUG
rnacentral:lncRNA from 1 species